rnacentral:rRNA from 1 species
GACGAACGCUGGCGGCGUGCUUAACACAUGCAAGUCGAACGGAAAGGCCCUGCUUUUGUGGGGUGCUCGAGUGGCGAACGGGUGAGUAACACGUGAGUAUCCUGCCCUUGACUUUGGGAUAACUUCAGGAAACUGGGUCUAAUACCGGAUAUGAGCUCCUGCUGCAUGGUGUGGGUUGUAAAGUUUCGCCGGUUGGGGAUGGACUGGCGGCUUAUCAGCUUGUUGGUGGGGUGGUGGCUUACCAAGGCGUUGACGGGUAGCCGGCCUGAGAGGGUGACAGGGCACAGAGGGAUUGGGGUAGCGGCAAGAGGGAUACGGGAGGAAGGAGUGGAGAAUAUAGCACGAUGGGCGGAAGCAGGAUGCAGCAACGCCGGGUCGGGGAUGACGGCUGUAGGGUUGUAAACCGCUUGCGCCUGUGAAGAAGCGUGUGUGACGGUAAUGGGUAAAGAAGCAACGGCUAACUACGUG